CAAUAAUAGGUUUUUCAAAAGGCCCAUAAACUUUCCUGCAACUUUUCCUUUGACAUCAAGGUUUUCACAUUCUAUGCGCGGUACUAUAGAAUUCUGUACAAUCGGAUGGAAGUAUUCUUCUGCCAUCACAUUCUACUGCAUCACAAUCAACUGCUCUACCGGAUACAGCUAACCAACCUGCGGUAAUUAUCUCAUGGCUCUCACACAGAUCAGAUGUUUUAUCAUAUUUUGCCUUGAAUCACCUCACCAAUAAACAUCCAAGCACAACUGAAUCGGCCAAUACACGCGCUCGACUAUAACGAAGGGUAGUUGAACUUAUAUGCUAUAGCUAUUGAUGCUGAAAACGUUGGAUAAGAAUUAUGAUCACGAGCGGAAUUGGUUACAACUCCCCCUAUGGACAGCCAUUACGACAGAUAAGGAUAAAAUAUUCUGUAAUUUCAAGUUCAUCGAUCAAGCAGACAACUAUUUCUAGUAAGUCGAAUGAUACAUCGGAAACCGUCUCGCUAUCGAACGUUGAAAUAUCCUAUCCUGCUCGGAACCAGCAGCCAUGGAAAGCGGAUAAACAAUAAAUUUGAGAGUAUGUACCGAUUAACCAAAACAAAGCCGCAGAGUUCAAACUGCGAAUGAAAAAAUCGGGAGCAGCAACAAAAGGCAGCUGGCAGAGACGUUUCUGACCUGAAUGUUUGGCAUUCUUUAAAAAAAAGUCCAAUACUGGGACUCUAACGCAUUGAACUAACGUAGAACGGCUUCUUACUGCGCCGAUGGCGUAAACGAUUAUUGCCAAAAUACGUGCUAUAACAUUACGAACAGACGAUUUGUUUUCUGUCUAACGACUUCUAACAAAAAGAAAGAAAAAUCUCUGGAACAGAAGUAUCACCCAUUUUCGCAACAUCACAUACAGCCGACGUUCCUACUCCAUCCAUAUAAGUUUAAAUAAAAUAGGCGUGCCACUCAUCACACGAUUUCUUUCCGGUCGAUACAGAAGCUGUCUUCAACGGCAUAUCAGCACUGGUUAUCAAAUCCACCGGAAAAUACUCCGUAUUGAGCGAAGUAUUUGGAAACGAUCAUGGCUACUAGAAGUGAUGACCAACCUCGACGGGAGGUGCUAGCAUUUCAGAAACACCGCUCAUAACAAAAACAAUACAAGAACAUAAGCCAGGCAAAUGAGAGUUUCCACUGAAUGCGGGUUUCUUUUUAUUUUACAAUAAAGCUAAAUCUUACAAUCAAAGCAAAUACAAAAUCUGCAAAAUUGAA